AGAGUUUGAUCCUGGCUCAGGAUGAACGCUGGCGGCGUGCCUAAUACAUGCAAGUCGAGCGAACGGACGAGAAGCUUGCUUCUCUGAUGUUAGCGGCGGACGGGUGAGUAACACGUGGAUAACCUACCUAUAAGACUGGGAUAACUUCGGGAAACCGGAGCUAAUACCGGAUAAUAUUUUGAACCGCAUGGUUCAAAAGUGAAAGACGGUCUUGCUGUCACUUAUAGAUGGAUCCGCGCUGCAUUAGCUAGUUGGUAAGGUAACGGCUUACCAAGGCAACGAUGCAUAGCCGACCUGAGAGGGUGAUCGGCCACACUGGAACUGAGACACGGUCCAGACUCCUACGGGAGGCAGCAGUAGGGAAUCUUCCGCAAUGGGCGAAAGCCUGACGGAGCAACGCCGCGUGAGUGAUGAAGGUCUUCGGAUCGUAAAACUCUGUUAUUAGGGAAGAACAUAUGUGUAAGUAACUGUGCACAUCUUGACGGUACCUAAUCAGAAAGCCACGGCUAACUACGUGCCAGCAGCCGCGGUAAUACGUAGGUGGCAAGCGUUAUCCGGAAUUAUUGGGCGUAAAGCGCGCGUAGGCGGUUUUUUAAGUCUGAUGUGAAAGCCCACGGCUCAACCGUGGAGGGUCAUUGGAAACUGGAAAACUUGAGUGCAGAAGAGGGAAGUGGAAUUCCAUGUGUAGCGGUGAAAUGCGCAGAGAUAUGGAGGAACACCAGUGGCGAAGGCGACUUUCUGGUCUGUAACUGACGCUGAUGUGCGAAAGCGUGGGGAUCAAACAGGAUUAGAUACCCUGGUAGUCCACGCCGUAAACGAUGAGUGCUAAGUGUUAGGGGGUUUCCGCCCCUUAGUGCUGCAGCUAACGCAUUAAGCACUCCGCCUGGGGAGUACGACCGCAAGGUUGAAACUCAAAGGAAUUGACGGGGACCCGCACAAGCGGUGGAGCAUGUGGUUUAAUUCGAAGCAACGCGAAGAACCUUACCAAAUCUUGACAUCCUUUGACAACUCUAGAGAUAGAGCCUUCCCCUUCGGGGGACAAAGUGACAGGUGGUGCAUGGUUGUCGUCAGCUCGUGUCGUGAGAUGUUGGGUUAAGUCCCGCAACGAGCGCAACCCUUAAGCUUAGUUGCCAUCAUUAAGUUGGGCACUCUAAGUUGACUGCCGGUGACAAACCGGAGGAAGGUGGGGAUGACGUCAAAUCAUCAUGCCCCUUAUGAUUUGGGCUACACACGUGCUACAAUGGACAAUACAAAGGGCAGCGAAACCGCGAGGUCAAGCAAAUCCCAUAAAGUUGUUCUCAGUUCGGAUUGUAGUCUGCAACUCGACUACAUGAAGCUGGAAUCGCUAGUAAUCGUAGAUCAGCAUGCUACGGUGAAUACGUUCCCGGGUCUUGUACACACCGCCCGUCACACCACGAGAGUUUGUAACACCCGAAGCCGGUGGAGUAACCUUUUAGGAGCUAGCCGUCGAAGGUGGGACAAAUGAUUGGGGUGAAGUCGUAACAAGGUAGCCGUAUCGGAAGGUGCGGCUGGAUCACCU
rnacentral:rRNA from 1 species